UGGUGUUUUGGUUCAAGGAAUAAGGACUUGUGGUACCACUUUGCUCAGAAUCUGGUACUUCCUCGGAGUCCGAUAGCUCUUCCUCAGAGUUCGAUGGUUCUUCCUCAGAGUCAGAUGCUUUUAAACUAUCCCCCUGUUCUCCCAUUGAUGGAUCCACGAUUUCACUGUCUGAAACGCCUGAGAAACACACAAAAUGGUGCUUUAGAAAAAGAUAGAGACUAUCCAAUGUUUUAGUUCGUCUUUCACUUUGCUGGGGACGACAAGAGAUUCCAUGUUCUUGGUUUUCUCUAUAUGAACCUGGGCGUUUCUUGCGGUUUCUUCUUGUUCUUUCUUUUCCAUGUGGAACUUAUUGAGCUUCUCCUCAAACUCUUCAAUGCACGCUUUAAGUUCUGGUUUCGCAAACUUCUUUCCCUGCUCAGAUUCACAACCAGAUGCCAAACUCACAUAUAGCACGAGAAGAAUGAAGACAAUGGCAUGGGUGAAAAAAACCAGAGAAACGUACCUUAUUGAUUAUGCUUCUAAAGUUUUCCGUCACUAGAUCCUCUGCUAAAGCGUGCUCGUAGGACUUGAAUGACUCGAUAAGCUUUUUGAUUCCCUUUUCUGUGAACGUCAGCAACGAAAGAGAAUACGAAAUGUAUUCCCACUGUUUUGUAUCUGCAAGUGUAGACGUAGACUUAUAACGCAUAUACUUUCUAUUAAACCCAUAACAAGUGUAAGGAUAUAUUAUCUAUCCAAGUGUA